UCCGUAGGUGAACCAGCGGAGGGAUCAUUACAGAGUUAUCCAACUCCCAAACCCAUGUGAACAUAUCUCUUUGUUGCCUCGGCGCAAGCUACCCGGGACCUCGCGCCCCGGGCGGCCCGCCGGCGGACAAACCAAACUCUGUUAUCUUCGUUGAUUAUCUGAGUGUCUUAUUUAAUAAGUCAAAACUUUCAACAACGGAUCUCUUGGUUCUGGCAUCGAUGAAGAACGCAGCGAAAUGCGAUAAGUAAUGUGAAUUGCAGAAUUCAGUGAAUCAUCGAAUCUUUGAACGCACAUUGCGCCCAUUAGUAUUCUAGUGGGCAUGCCUGUUCGAGCGUCAUUUCAACCCCUAAGCACAGCUUAUUGUUGGGCGUCUACGUCUGUAGUGCCUCAAAGACAUUGGCGGAGCGGCAGCAGUCCUCUGAGCGUAGUAAUUCUUUAUCUCGCUUCUGUUAGGCGCUGCCCCCCCGGCCGUAAAACCCCCAAUUUUUUCUGGUUGACCUCGGAUCAGGUAGGAAUACCCGCUGAACUUAAGCAUAUCAAUAAGCGGAGGAAAAGAAACCAACAGGGAUUCCCCU
rnacentral:rRNA from 1 species